rnacentral:rRNA from 1 species
GACGAACGCUGGCGGCGUGCCUAAUACAUGCCAGUAGAACGCUGAAGGAGGAGCUUGCUUCUCUGGAUGAGUUGCGAACGGGUGAGUAACGCGUAGGUAACCUGCCUGGUAGCGGGGGAUAACUAUUGGAAACGAUAGCUAAUACCGCAUAAUAUUGACUAUUGGAUGAUAGUCAGUUGAAAGGUGCAACUGCACCACUACCAGAUGGACCUGCGUUGUAUUAGCUAGUUGGUGGGGUAACGGCUCACCAAGGCGACGAUACAUAGCCGACCUGAGAGGGUGAUCGGCCACACUGGGACUGAGACACGGCCCAGACUCCUACGGGAGGCAGCAGUAGGGAAUCUUCGGCAAUGGACGGAAGUCUGACCGAGCAACGCCGCGGGAGUGAAGAAGGUUUUCGGAUCGUAAAGCUCUGUUGUAAGAGAAGAACGAGUGUGAGAGUGGAAAGCUCACACUGUGACGGUAUCUUACCAGAAAGGGACGGCUAACUACGUG